rnacentral:rRNA from 1 species
UUAAAGGGAGCGUAGACGGGAUGUUAAGUCAGUUGUGAAAUGCUGUGGCUCAACCAUAGCACUGCAGUUGAUACUGGCGUUCUUGAGUGCGUAUGAGGUAUGUGGAAUUCGUGGUGUAGCGGUGAAAUGCUUAGAUAUCACGAAGAACUCCGAUUGCGAAGGCAGCGUACCAAUCCGUAACUGACGUUGAUGCUCGAAAGUGUGGGUAUCAAACAGGAUUAGAUACCCUGGUAGUCCACACGGUAAACGAUGGAUACUCGCUGUUGGCGAUACAAUGUCAGCGGCCAAGUGAAAACGUUAAGUAUCCCACCUGGGGAGUACGCCGGCAACGGUGAAACUCAAAGGAAUUGACGGGGGCCCGCACAAGCGGAGGAACAUGUGGUUUAAUUCGAUGAUACGCGAGGAACCUUACCCGGGCUUAAAUUGCAUCUGACAGGUCAUGAGACUGACUCUUCUUCGGACAGAUGUGAAGGUGCUGCAUGGUUGUCGUCAGCUCGUGCCGUGAGGUGUCGGCUUAAGUGCCAUAACGAGCGCAACCCUUGCUUCCAGUUGCCAUCAGGUCAUGCUGGGGACUCUGGAAGGACUGCCAUCGUAAGAUGUGAGGAAGGUGGGGAUGACGUCAAAUCAGCACGGCCCUUACGUCCGGGGCUACACACGCGUUACAAUGGGGGGUACAGCAGGCUGCUACCGGGCGACCGGAUGCCAAUCCCUAAAACCCCUCUCAGUUCGGACUGGAGUCUGCAACCCGACUCCACGAAGCUGGAUUCGCUAGUAAUCGCGCA